rnacentral:rRNA from 1 species
UACGUAGGGUGCGAGCGUUAAUCGGAAUUACUGGGCGUAAAGCGUGCGCAGGCGGCUUGCCAAGUCAGAUGUGAAAGCCCCGGGCUUAACCUGGGAAUGGCGUUUGAAACUGGCAGGCUAGAGUUUGGCAGAGGGGGGUGGAAUUCCACGUGUAGCAGUGAAAUGCGUAGAGAUGUGGAGGAACACCGAUGGCGAAGGCAGCCCCCUGGGCCAAAACUGACGCUCAGGCACGAAAGCUAGGGGAGCGAACGGG